UAUUUAUUUACCUUAUAGGAUACUUAAUGUUAAUUAAAUUUGUUUAAAUCUUAAUAAUAAUAAUAAUAAUAAUAAUAUUUUAAAUCUAUGGUAAAAAUACAAAUAGGCAAGAAAAUAUAAACCUAUCAAACCCGGAGAACGGCUUACGUCACAGUCCUGGACGAAGUGCGGAAAGGGUACGUGUUCAAAUCAAAGACCCCCCAGGUCGAAAUAACGGGCACUCGCAAAAUAAAUUUAUAUAGUGCUACCGUUUUCAUUUUUAUUAUAUAAGGAGAAGAUAAAUUAUAAUAUUGGCCAGCUAGAAAUUCGAUUGAAACCGACGCGUGACGUAAUGACUUGGUAUUCAAUAAUAUAAUACAUUUAUUUUUCUAUUUAUUUUUGGGAUUAUCGACCACCAGGACCAUCCUACAUUUCACACACAUAAUCUUCCAAUUUGUUCACCUCCCCCCCCUUUACUUUUGUCAAUUGGUUUAAACAUUUUACAGCUAUAAAUUAUACUGUUAAAUUAUUAAUAGCUUAAAUACUAACGAAAUAGUGGCCAAAAUACAGACAGGAAAUAAAUACUAUUAUGGACUAGCAAAAAUAUUAGGAGCAAGAUCAAUGUUUAAAAAAUUAAAAAACCAAUUUUACAUUACUUCGAUUCACCCGGUAGUCCUGUACGGAGCGGAAACAUGGACACUACGAAAGUUAAACGAGAGAAAUUACUAUUAAUGGGAAGGUAAAUCUUCGGUCCAGUUAGGGAUUGUUUCAGUAGAGAAUGGAGAAGAAGAAAAAAUACUGUAUUCCAGAACACAAAUGUAGUAGGUAGACGUAAUAAGAAGGUGAAGACUACAAUGGGCGUGGCAGCCUUGGAGAAAAAAUAAUGAACUGAUAAGAGCCGUAAUGGAAAAAAACCCGAGUGGAAAAAUACAGUUGAGAAAACCCAAAAGCAAGAUGGGAGGAUUUAGUCAAGAAAGACGUAGAAUUAUUUGGUGGAGGCUCGGAUUGGAAAGAAAAAGCGUCGGAUAGAGAAGGAUGGAGGCUAGGAUGCGAAACGGGAUGGUCCUCAGUAGCCUAAUAGCCAGAAGAAGAAAAAGAAAAUAAGUAUUUCUUAUAUAGUUAUUUAAUUUUGAAAUGUACCUAUAUACUUGUAUUUCAGCUAAGUUAUAUGUCAAAAAGUUUGAUUUAUUGAAUAAAAAUUGGUUUUUUACGUCGUGCGUAACAAUGAGAGACGAAUCUAAACGAUUAAAAUCCUGUUAUAAUCACAUACUAUAUAAAUAUCUAUUAUAAUCCAAAAUUAUGAGUGGUCCAAAUGAGUAGAUUCAUUAAUAUUAAUAUUAUUCGUUCAUUAUUCAUUACUGCGUAUAUCGUAC